rnacentral:lncRNA from 1 species
GGAGAGGCCCACAAAGGGCCCGAAGAAAGGGCCUCGGGAGGGGCUGCAAAUGGGCCUUCCCGCACAUGCCACCGUUGCCCGGGCGACGGCCCUCUCAUGGAGAGGUCUGCUGGGCCAUUGUCCAGGGCCUGCAGGACGUGUCACACACCAGAUGGUCGUGUGCUGUCUAGGUCACUUAUAGGGGGACAGAGUGAAGGAAUGUGGCCAGCUCGGCAGGCCGGGGCACCAUCUGUUCCUUCAGACCAUGGGCAUCAGGCGGGCAUUGAGCGUCCGGCCUGCCAGGCCCAGCCUUCUCCCCGGCUUUAAUUAGGUAAUUCCAUAAUUGGGCUUUAUUUCAGGUAAAUUGCAUUUCACACCCGAGAGGGCUGCAAUGGUCCUUGCGGGAGAACAGCACUUGGCCACUCUACACAGUCCAUAACACGGCACCGAGGCCGGCAGGGAGCAGGGACCGUGUCUUACCCAGAUGGAUGGCCUUCAGCUCCCAGUGGGCUGUAGCCUGCCUGGGCAAUACUGAGGGCCCUGGCUAUAGCCAGCCACAGCCUGGGGCUUCCACAAAUAUUUACCCAACAAGGAAACAACAGCUUCUGCCUUCCAGCAAUUGUUGCUGCAGAACCCCCCUUGAGGGGGGUUGAGGCCGGGAAGCCUGAGGCCUCAGCUGCCUUUCCACCCUUCCCUUCAAAAGCUGGCCAGUGCUUGUUAGACCCGACACUAAGACCUUGUGGAGGGAGCUGCUACCUAAGAAAUUCAGGUAAGAGAGCCUUGGGGGGCUUUCCCCUCCUAUAGGGGCCUCCAGCUGCACCCUCACACUUGGCUCUUUGAUUCUACUGAUUGCUACCUUCUGCCUCCAAAGACCAGGGCACCCCCAUCCUUCCAAUCACAGAUGCCUCUGGCCCUGAUGGCCAAGCAUAUAGGGUGGGCCUUGGAAGGAGGACAGAAUGGGAUCAGUAGAGACAGUGGACAUUGGCUGGGGAAAUCCCUGCUCACAGGGCUCUGUUUCCAUUCUCAGUAGAUGGAUCACAAAGAGUAACAGCCACAGGGCUAGGUGAUCAGGGCAGUAUUCACUUAGAAUAACCCUGCAGCCUAGAGGACUGACUGGACAGCCAGAGGAACAUCAUAAUCCCAACAGGGAAACCGGGGCUUUGAAGGGAGCCCAAGAACCCCAGCACUUAUUUGUAUACUUCUAUUUCAGAAGUGAAAGUCUUAGGGCCUUGGGAGCUGGCCCUGGAAAAGAAGCACUCUUGAAUGUGUCACCAGUGAGAGCCAUCUUGGCUGGAAAGGACAGAUGA